UUGACCAUAAACUAUGCCGACUCAGGAUUGGCGGAGUUCUUCAAUGUCUCCGCCAGCACUGUAUGAUAAAUCAAAGUCUUUGGGUUCCGGGGGGAGUAUGGUCGCAAGGCUGAAACUUAAAGGAAUUGACGGAAGGGCACACCAGGAGUGGAGCCUGCGGCUUAAUUUGACUCAACACGGGGAAACUUACCAGGUCCAGACAUAGUAAGGAUUGACAGAUUGAGAGCUCUUUCUUGAUUCUAUGGGUGGUGG
rnacentral:rRNA from 1 species